AGAUCGAGAGAGAGAGAGAGAACUGGAGGCUGUGUUCUAACCUGGGUUUGGAUUUUGUGGAUUUGUUUUCAGCAAAAGUAAGAGAAGAGUUGGGCUUCUUUUCUUGGGGUCCAUCCAUUUGCAAUUGUCAUGACUCAUGACUGAAACAGAAAGAGGAAGAGAAUAGGAGUUUACGGUUGUGAAAUUGGAUUUGUCAGAGGGUUGGGUGUAUGUGAUUAGUGAGGCUGUUGCUUAGUGGUGCUUCAUCAAGGGAGGCUCGACUUCAAAGCUGGUUAUCAGAAGUUCUUUAAGGUUUCACAUGCUGCUGUUGUAAGAAAUUGGUCUGCAAGGUUUGAAGAGAAGGAGAAGGUUGAAUCUGUAAAUCAAGAUA